UUAGCUCAGCUGGAUAGAGCAACGGCCUUCUAAGCCGUAGGUCAAAGGUUCGAAUCCUUUA
rnacentral:tRNA from 1 species